rnacentral:rRNA from 1 species
CCUACGGGAGGCAGCAGUGGGGGAUAUUGCACAAUGGGGGGAACCCUGAUGCAGCGACGCCGCGUGGGUGAAGGAGCGUUUCGGCGCGUAAAGCUCUAUCGGCAGGGAAGAAGAAGGACGGUACCUCUUGAAUAAGCCACGGCUAACUACGUGCCAGCAGCCGCGGUAAUACGUAGGUGGCAAGCGUUGUUCGGAGUUACUGGGUGUAAAGGGCGUGCAGCCGGGAAGACAAGUCAGAUGUGAAAUCCCGGGGCUCAACCGCGGAACUGCAUUUGAAACGGUUUUUCUUGAGUACCGGAGAGGUCAUCGGAAUGCCUGGUGUAGCGGUGAAAUGCGUAGAGAUAAGGAAGAACACCAGUGGCGAAGGCAGAUGACUGGACGGCAACUGACGGUGAGGCGCGAAAGCGUGGGGAGCAAACAGGAUUAGAUACCCUUGUAGUC